rnacentral:rRNA from 1 species
UACGUAGGGUGCAAGCGUUGUCCGGAAUUAUUGGGCGUAAAGAGCUCGUAGGCGGUCUGUCGCGUCUGCUGUGAAAACUCAGGGCUUAACCCUGAGCUUGCAGUGGGUACGGGCAGACUAGAGUGCGGUAGGGGAGACUGGAAUUCCUGGUGUAGCGGUGAAAUGCGCAGAUAUCAGGAGGAACACCGGUGGCGAAAGGCGGGUCUCUGGGCCGU